rnacentral:rRNA from 1 species
GACGAACGCUGGCGGCGUGCUUAACACGUGCAAGUCGAACGGAAAGGCCCCUUUGGGGGUACUCGAGUGGCGAACGGGUGAGUAACACGUGAGUAACCUGCCCUUGACUUCGGGAUAACUUCAGGAAACUGGGGCUAAUACCGGAUAGGAAUCCUUGCUGCAUGGUGGGGGUUGGAAAGCUUCGGCGGUUUUGGAUGGACUCGCGGCUUAUCAGCUUGUUGGUGGGGUAGUGGCUUACCAAGGCUUUGACGGGUAGCCGGCCUGAGAGGGCGACCGGCCACAUUGGGACUGAGAUACGGCCCAGACUCCUACGGGAGGCAGCAGUGGGGAAUAUUGCACAAUGGGCGGAAGCCUGAUGCAGCAACGCCGCGUGCGGGAUGACGGCCUUCGGGUUGUAAACCGCUUUCAGCAGGGGCGAAGCUUGUGGUGACGGUACCUGCAGAAGAAGCACCGGCUAACUACGUG